ensembl:lncRNA
AAAGACUUUCAAAACUCUGAAUCACCAUGGGCUCCAUUCCCAACUCCAUCUGGGCUCAGCCCCUCUGGACUAAAACUUCAGAGUCUGGUGUGUACUUAGACCAGAUGGGAUUCAGCUUAAACCCUGGCAAAAAAAAUUAUUCAUCUCUUCACAUCUCAGCAGCUCUAUCCUGGGCACUAAGUCAGUCUAGCCAAAGCUCCAAUACUUUGGCAACCUGAUGCGAAGAGCCAACUCAUUGGAAAAGACCUUGAUGCUGGGAAAGAUUGAAGCGAGAAGGAGAGAGGGGUAACAGAGGACGAAAUGGUUGGAUGGCAUCACCAACUUGAUGGACAUGAGUUUGAGCAAGCUCCAGGAGAUGGUGAAGGACAGAGAAGCCUGGCGUCCUGCAGUCCAUGGAGUCUCAAAGAGUUAGACAUGACUUAGUCACUGAACAAUGAACAAAAACAGUCUGGAGAGGAAAGGGACCCCAAUAGCAAGGUCUAUAGAUCUCCAUGCAGUUUGUUCAGUGGCUUGAACAAUGCAGUGAGUAUUCCAACCCUGAAGAACUGGGAAAGGAGAGAGAUGAAGAAAUCCAGGAGGGAGCCAGUUCUCUCUUCUUGAACGAUGGAGAAGGAAAUGGCAACCCACUCCGGUAUUCUUGCCUGGAGAGGCCUACGGAUAGAGGAGCCUGGUGGGCUGCUGUCCAUAGGGUCACACAGAGUCG